CGCCGAGCUCCCGCAGUCAGCGUGGGUGGAUGCCCGCAAGACGCUGCUAAUGCUAACGGGGACGGGGUGAGCCCCGGCGAGGGCGGAGGGACGGCUCGGCAGGGUCAAGGUAGCUGGUAGCAGCGCCCCGGCGCCUGCCGAGCGAGGCCGGCUGCGGGGCCCCGGGGUUUGGCUGCCCCUCGAACCCGUGCGAGCCUCGGGCUGCUGCUGCCAGCCCUUAUUUCCUAUAGGGAAAACGGGGAGAUGUCCUUGCGUCUCCUCUAAGGAGGGAUCUACACUGCCACGGCGUUUUAACUCGUUUUUAUUUUGGCCCUAAGGGCGAGGAGGGUGCAGGGAGGAGAUUUUGGCUUACGCAAGCGGAUCGACCGCUGUAUCGCUGUUGUAGGCGCGGAUGCUGUUUGCUUUUGCUGCUUGCUGGGCUGUGAAGUCCAGACUAACUUUUAGUCCUCUCGGUUUUUCCUUUUAUACCUUCUUCCACAGUCUCAUUCCACUCACCCUUUGCUAGUCUUUCUCUAACAUAUGUCCGAGUUUAUCUCUAAAUCAAAGAGUGAGCAUUUCUAUCAAAACAGCAUAUGAAUAGGCCAUAUGGCUGUUGGCUGAUUGUGUUUCCUCAGUAUAAUAUUUUUAAUACAUACUUUAUGUAAUGCAGACAUGCAGCCACAAGCAAUGACUGUGGGCAGACCCAUCCAAGUGCUUUCUUCAUUAGGCUUAGCAGUACAGUGAUUUUGCUCAGAAAUCCUUACAAGUCACUCCCAGGCAUCACUAAAGUUCAGCUUCAGAAUACGCAUGUCUGCCUUCCUAUGCAUUGACUUCACUUUUCACAGGAAGAACUGACUGGGUUUUUUUUAAGCCAUUUCUAACAAACUCUUCUUGAGUUCUCUACCUUACAUUGCUGAUGUGGGUUGUUUUUUACCUGGAUUAUCAGUCUAUUUCUAGUUACUUACCAAAACUAGGAAUGAGCCAACAGGUGACGUGUAUUUCGCAUAUGUUCUGUUUUAAAAGGAUUUAUGUACCUAGUUUUAUUCUGAGUUUGCUUUAUAGCAUCAUUUCAAGCUGUUGUGCUGAACUUUUACUCAUUGGGACAUUUGUAGACAGAAGAAUUUGCUUGCAUAAGUUCUUGAGUAUUUUGAAUUUAAAUUGCUUUGUGCUGUCAAAGUUCAUUUGAAACCACUUUGUGAGUGAAAUGUCCAAGUUAAACUUCAGUGAAGCUGUUUGUUGUCUGCUGAGAUUCUCUCUCUGAGUUAUCACAGGGGCUGGCUUGCAAGCAUUCACAAACAGGAACAACCUCAAAGCACAUCAGGGAUCUGCUCUGUGGCUCUUUGGUCCAUCCAUGAGCUAGCAGAUAUGUGUGCCCAGGGAGGGCCAUGCAGAUGGCUUCGGCUGCAAUCUGUCUGCUCCACAAGCAGAACACCUGUGUCUGGAUCCGGCUCCUCAGGAAGGUCAACAUCCCAUCUGUGUUUGGUGAAAUUACCUACUGGUUGAACUACUGCCUCUGUCGGAAAAACAAAGCUCUGUGUGUUGUGGUGUGUGGCUGUUUGUUUCUUUCCUUGCCUCCUGUGGCUACACAGAUGGGCUUUUAGGGCUGAUCCUGGGGAAAGCUUCAACAUCACCACAAGGAAUUUUGCAGGGAGAUGUUCCAAAUGGCUCCCUUUAUUGGCAGAUGGUCUGCUGCACCUAACUAGCUUUAUCUGGGUAAAUGGCUUAAUUAUCAGGAUGAAGUUUCUGGGUUUGUUUUGUUUUGUUUUUUUAUUUUUAUUCUGCCAUUCAUAAAUGUGUGAAUAAAAAUUAGUACAGUGCUCAGGGGAUAUACUAACUUAUACCCAUUAGAAUUUUUCAGUCACAGCUACUCGAGCAUCUAAUAGUGCAAACAAGCUCUUCAGUGAUUCCUGAGAUGAGAGGGGCCCUCUUGUGGGGAAUAUCGAAUGGAGAAGCUUCUGAGACACCUCAUCUUAUGGCUGCCCAUCCAUGAACAUAGGCAUGUCUCUGCCUGUGAGAGUUCCCCACGCGUGCUCGGGGCUGCUUUGGCCAGCUCUGUGCACAGGAAAACAAAUCUGCAUUCUAAGUGAUGUCAGUGCCAAGUGGCUUGUGAAAGCCGAACACUUGAGGUGUUCACUCUUUAACUGCUGAUGGGACUUUAUAUCUGUUGUUUGCUUAUCCUGGUAUUUUCUCCAUCUGAGAAUAAAUCAAAUUUCAUUUUA